GCGAACGCUGGCGGCAGGCCUAACACAUGCAAGUCGAACGAACCUUUCGGGGUUAGUGGCGGACGGGUGAGUAACACGUGGGAACGUGCCUUUAGGUUCGGAAUAACUCAGGGAAACUUGUGCUAAUACCGAAUGUGCCCUUCGGGGGAAAGAUUUAUCGCCUUUAGAGCGGCCCGCGUCUGAUUAGCUAGUUGGUUGAGGUAAUGGCUCACCAAGGCGACGAUCAGUAGCUGGUCUGAGAGGAUGAGCAGCCACAUUGGGACUGAGACACGGCCCAAACUCCUACGGGAGGCGGCAGUGGGUAAUCUUGCGCAAUGGGCGAAAGCCUGACGCACCCAGGCUGCGUGAAUGAUGAAGGUCUUAGGAUUGUAAAAUUCUUUCACCGGGGACGAUAAUGACGGUACCCGGAGAAGAAGCCCCGGCUAACUUCGUG
rnacentral:rRNA from 1 species